AGUAUGACUCUCGGCAACAGAUAUCCUGGCUCUAACAUCGAUAAAGAAUGUAGCGAGAUGCGGUACUUAGUGUGAAUUGUAGAAUCCCGUGAACCAUCGAGUCUUUAAAUGCAAGUUGUGCAUGAGGCUGCCCGGCCGAGGGCAUACCUGCCUGGGUGUCAUGC
rnacentral:rRNA from 1 species